rnacentral:rRNA from 1 species
GGAUCCAGACUUUGAUUAUGGCUCAUGAUGAACGCUAGCGGCAGGCUUAACACAUGCAAGUCGAGGGGCAGCGCGGGGCGGCAACGUCCUGGCGGCGACCGGCGGAAGGGUGCGUAACGCGUGAGCGACAUGCCCGUUGCCCGGGGACAACCGGUGGAAACGCCGACUAAUCCCCGAUGGGACGGAGGCCCUCAUGGGUCUCUGUUGAAAGUUACGGCGGCGACGGAUUGGCUCGCGUCCGAUUAGCUUGUUGGCGGGGUAACGGCCCACCAAGGCUACGAUCGGUAGGGGUUCUGAGAGGAAGGUCCCCCACAAUGGAACUGAGACACGGUCCAUACUCCUACGGGAGGCAGCAGUGAGGAAUAUUGGUCAAUGGGCGGAAGCCUGAACCAGCCAUGCCGCGUGCGGGAAGGAGGCCCUAUGGGCUGUGAACCGCUUUUGCCUGGGGGCAAUAAGGGCGUCGUGCACGUCCGAUGAGAGUACCAGGCGAAUAAGCAUCGGCUAACUCCGUGCCAGCAGCCGCGGUAAUACGGGGGAUGCGAGCGUUAUCCGGAUUCAUUGGGUUUAAAGGGUGCGUAGGCUGUGCGUCAAGUCAGGGGUGAAAUUCCGGGGCUCAACUCCGGGGCUGCCCUUGAUACUGUCGCGCUGGAGUGCGGAUGCCGCCGGAGGAAUGAGUGGUGUAGCGGUGAAAUGCUUAGAUAUCACUCAGAACACCGAUUGCGAAGGCAUCUGGCGAAUCCGUAACUGACGCUGAGGCACGAAAGCGUGGGGAUAGAACAGGAUUAGAUACCCUGGUAUUCCACGCCGUAAACGAUGAUGGCUAACCGCCGGCGACACACUGUCGGUGGCCAAGCGAAAGCGAUAAGCCAUCCACCUGGGGAGUACGUCGGCAACGAUGCAACUCAAAG